AUUGUCUUCUUCAUAACUACUCCUUCCGUUCAACAUCAUCACUGCUCAUCAGCAUCGAUCCUUCUCCACCGCACAUAUAUUCCCUCCGCUUGCGAUUCUUCAUCACGAUGUUCACCGCCAACCUUCACCCGCCUGUCCUCCUUCAUUCGAUCUCUAUCACCUUCUGCAACACAAAAACCGAGUUCUCCAUUUCGUGACCACCUAUCAACUCUCUCCGUCCCGACGUCGUCAACGUCCAGCAGCUGCCUCCGCUCUUCCACUCUUCUUCAUCGAAUCUUCAGCCAAUAA